UAACACGUGGGUAAUCUGCCCUGGAGUGGGGAAUAACACCGGGAAACCGGUGCUAAUACCGCAUACGAUAAUGAGGUCUGCGGACUUUGUUAUGAAAGGAGCAAUUCGCUCUAGGAGGAGCCCGCGGCUGAUUAGCUAGUUGGUGAGGUAAUGGCUCACCAAGGCUUCGAUCAGUAUCCGGUCUGAGAGGACGGUCGGACACACUGGAACUGAGACACGGUCCAG
rnacentral:rRNA from 1 species